rnacentral:rRNA from 1 species
UACGAAGGGGGCUAGCGUUGCUCGGAAUCACUGGGCGUAAAGCGCACGUAGGCGGCUUUUUAAGUCAGGGGUGAAAUCCUGGAGCUCAACUCCAGAACUGCCUUUGAUACUGAGAGGCUCGAGUCCGGGGGAGGUGAGUGGAACUGCGAGCGUAGAGGUGAAAUUCGUAGAUAUUCGCAAGAACACCAGUGGCGAAGGCGGCUCACUGGCCCGGUACUGACGCUGAGGUGCGAAAGCGUGGGGAGCAAACAGG